UAGGAGUCGGUACAAAGGGUCGCCAACCCGCGAGGGGGAGCCAAUCCCAUAAAGCCAUUCGUAGUCCGGAUCGCAGUCUGCAACUCGACUGCGUGAAGUCGGAAUCGCUAGUAAUCGUGGAUCAGAAUGUCACGGUGAAUACGUUCCCGGGUCUU
rnacentral:rRNA from 1 species